GACGAACGCUGGCGGCGUGCUUAACACAUGCAAGUCGAACGGAAAGGCCCUGCUUUUGUGGGGUGCUCGAUUGGCGCACGGGUGAGUAACACGUGAGUAACCUGCCCUUGACUUUGGGAUAACUUCAGGAAACUGGGGCUCAUACCGGAUAGGAGCUCCUGCUGCCUGGUGGGUGUUGGAAAGUUUCGGCGGUUGGGGAUGGACUCGCGGCUUAUCAGCUUGUUGGUGUGGUAGUGGCUUACCAAGGCUUUGACGGGUAGCCGGCCUGAGAGGGUGACCGGCCACAUGGGGACUGAGAGACGGCCCAGACUCAUACGGGAGGCAGCAGGGGGGAAUAUUGCACAAUGGGCGGAAGCCUGAUGCAGCAACGCCGCGUGCGGGAUGAAGGCCUUCGGGUUGUAAACCGAUUUCGCCUGUGACGAAGCGUGAGUGACGGUAAUGGGUAAAGAAGCACCGGCUAACUACGUG
rnacentral:rRNA from 1 species